rnacentral:rRNA from 1 species
AUGGCGACCGGCGCACGGGUGCGUAACGCGUAUGUAACCUGCCUGUAAUUAGGGGAUAGCUCGGUGAAAGUCGAAUUAAUACCCUAUAUUCUAUUUUAUCCGCAUGGGUUUUAUAGGAAAGAUUUAUUGAUUACAGAUGGGCAUGCGUUCCAUUAGCUUGUUGGUGAGGUAACGGCUCACCAAGGCAACGAUGGAUAGGGGGACUGAGAGGUUGACCCCCCACACUGGUACUGAGACACGGACCAGACUCCUACGGGAGGCAGCAGUGAGGAAUAUUGGUCAAUGGGCGGAAGCCUGAACCAGCCAAGUCGCGUGAAGGAAGACGGUCCUAUGGAUUGUAAACUUCUUUUGUAGAGGAAUAAUGGCGUCCACGUGUGCAUGAGAGGAAUGUACUCUACCAAUAAGUAUCGGCUAACUCCGUGCCAG